rnacentral:tRNA from 1 species
GAGGGUAUAGCUCAAGUGAUAGAGCACAUGCUUAGCAUGCAUGAGGUCCUGGGUUCAAUCCCCAGCACCUCCU